UGAGGAAUAUUGGUCAAUGGGGGCAACCCUGAACCAGCCAAGUCGCGUGAAGGAUGACGGUCUUAUGGAUUGUAAACUUCUUUUAUACAGGAAUAAAUUGGGGGACGUGUCCCCUUUUGCAUGUACUGUAUGAAUAAGGAUCGGCUAACUCCGUGCCUGCAGCCGCGGUAAUACGGAGGAUCCGAGCGUUAUCCGGAUUUAUUGGGUUUAAAGGGUGCGCAGGCGGGAUGUUAAGUCGGCGGUGAAAUUUUGCAGCUCAACUGUAAGAGUGCCUUCGAUACUGGCCUCCUUGAGUGUGGAUGAAGUAGGCGGAAUUUGUGGUGUAGCGGUGAAAUGCUUUGAUAUCACGAGGAACUCCGAUUGCGCAGGCAGCUUACUAAGCCACAACUGACGCUCAUGCACGAAGGCGUGGGGA
rnacentral:rRNA from 1 species